rnacentral:rRNA from 1 species
GACGAAGGGGGCUAGCGUUGUUCGGAAUUACUGGGCGUAAAGGGCGCGUAGGCUGCGGGGCAAGUCGGGUGUGAAAUCUCAGAGCUCAACUCUGAAACUGCACUCGAUACUGCUUUGCUUGAGGACUGGAGAGGAGAUUGGAAUUCACGGUGUAGCAGUGAAAUGCGUAGAUAUCGUGAGGAAGACCAGUGGCGAAGGCGGAUCUCUGGACAGUUCCUGACGCUGAGGCGCGAAGGCCAGGGGAGCAAACAGG